ACUUCCUGCAUAUGCAGUGUUGAUAUGUCUGAUAUUCUUGGGUUGUGCAAAGUCAACCAGCAUCUCAGACGUAUCGACCACUGUGUAUUGCUCCAUAUCCAUCUAGCCUUCCAAU
rnacentral:pre_miRNA from 13 species